rnacentral:rRNA from 1 species
AGAGUUUGAUCAUGGCUCAGGAUGAACGCUAGCUACAGGCUUAACACAUGCAAGUCGAGGGGCAGCAUCAUCAAAGCUUGCUUUGAUGGAUGGCGACCGGCGCACGGGUGAGUAACACGUAUCCAACCUGCCGACAACACUGGGAUAGCCUUUCGAAAGAAAGAUUAAUACCGGAUGGCAUAGUUUUCCCGCAUGGGAUAAUUAUUAAAGAAUUUCGGUUGUCGAUGGGGAUGCGUUCCAUUAGGCAGUUGGCGGGGUAACGGCCCACCAAACCUACGAUGGAUAGGGGUUCUGAGAGGAAGGUCCCCCACAUUGGAACUGAGACACGGUCCAAACUCCUACGGGAGGCAGCAGUGAGGAAUAUUGGUCAAUGGACGAGAGUCUGAACCAGCCAAGUAGCGUGAAGGAUGACUGCCCUAUGGGUUGUAAACUUCUUUUAUACGGGAAUAAAGUGAGCCACGUGUGGCUUUUUGUAUGUACCGUAUGAAUAAGGAUCGGCUAACUCCGUGCCAGCAGCCGCGGUAAUACGGAGGAUCCGAGCGUUAUCCGGAUUUAUUGGGUUUAAAGGGAGCGUAGGCGGGUUGUUAAGUCAGUUGUGAAAGUUUGCGGCUCAACCGUAAAAUUGCAGUUGAUACUGGCGACCUUGAGUGCAACAGAGGUAGGCGGAAUUCGUGGUGUAGCGGUGAAAUGCUUAGAUAUCACGAAGAACUCCGAUUGCGAAGGCAGCUUACUGGAUUGUAACUGACGCUGAUGCUCGAAAGUGUGGG